rnacentral:rRNA from 1 species
CAACCGCCCGUCACAUCACGAAAGUGGACUGCACUAGAAGCCCGGUGAGCCAACCGCAAGGGGGCACGCCGUCCAAGGUAUGGUUCAUGAUUGGGUCG